rnacentral:rRNA from 1 species
GAUGAACGCUGGCGGCGUGCCUAAUACAUGCAAGUCGAGCGAACGGACGAGAAGCUUGCUUCUCUGAUGUUAGCGGCGGACGGGUGAGUAACACGUGGAUAACCUACCUAUAAGACUGGGAUAACUUCGGGAAACCGGAGCUAAUACCGGAUAAUAUUUUGAACCGCAUGGUUCAAAAGUGAAAGGCGGUCUUGCUGUCACUUAUAGAUGGAUCAGCGCUGCAUUAGCUAGUUGGUAAGGUAACGGCUUACCAAGGCAACGAUGCAUAGCCGACCUGAGAGGGUGAUCGGCCACACUGGAACUGAGACACGGUCCAGACUCCUACGGGAGGCAGCAGUAGGGAAUCUUCCGCAAUGGGCGAAAGCCUGACGGAGCAACGCCGCGUGAGUGAUGAAGGUCUUCGGAUCGUAAAACUCUGUUAUUAGGGAAGAACAUAUGUGUAAGUAACUGUGCACAUCUUGACGGUACCUAAUCAGAAAGCCACGGCUAACUACGUG